UACAGAGGGUGCAAGCGUUAAUCGGAAUUACUGGGCGUAAAGCGCGCGUAGGUGGUUUGUUAAGUUGGAUGUGAAAUCCCCGGGCUCAACCUGGGAACUGCAUCCAAAACCGGCAAGCUAGAGUAUGGUAGAGGGUGGUGGAAUUUCCUGUGUAGCGGUGAAAUGCGUAGAUAUAGGAAGGAACACCAGUGGCGAAGGCGACCACCUGGACUGAUACUGACACUGAGGUGCGAAAGCGUGGGGAGCAAACAGG
rnacentral:rRNA from 1 species